rnacentral:rRNA from 1 species
GAUGAACGCUGGCGGCGUGCCUAAUACAUGCAAGUCGAGCGAACAGACGAGGAGCUUGCUCCUCUGACGUUAGCGGCGGACGGGUGAGUAGCACGUGGAUAACCUACCUAUAAGACUGGGAUAACUUCGGGAAACCGGAGCUAAUACCGGAUAAUAUAUUGAACCGCAUGGUUCAAUAGUGAAAGACGGUUUUGCUGUCACUUAUAGAUGAAUCCGCGCCGCAUUAGCUAGUUGGUAAGGUAACGGCUUACCAAGGCAACGAUGCGUAGCCGACCUGAGAGGGUGAUCGGCCACACUGGAACUGAGACACGGUCCAGACUCCUACGGGAGGCAGCAGUAGGGAAUCUUCCGCAAUGGGCGAAAGCCUGACGGAGCAACGCCGCGUGAGUGAUGAAGGUCUUCGGAUCGUAAAACUCUGUUAUUAGGGAAGAACAAAUGUGUAAGUAACUAUGCACGUCUUGACGGUACCUAAUCAGAAAGCCACGGCUAACUACGUG